rnacentral:rRNA from 1 species
GAUGAACGCUGGCGGCGUGCCUAAUACAUGCAAGUCGAGCGAACGGACGAGAAGCUUGCUUCUCUGAUGUUAGCGGCGGACGGGUGAGUAACACGUGGAUAACCUACCUAUAAGACUGGGAUAACUUCGGGAAACCGUAGCUAAUACCGGAUAAUAUUUUGAACCGCAUGGUUCAAAAGUGAAAGACGGUCUUGCUGUCACUUAUAGAUGGAUCCGCGCUGCAUUAGCUAGUUGGUAAGGUAACGGCUUACCAAGGCAACGAUGCAUAGCCGACCUGAGAGGGUGAUCGGCCACACUGGACCUGAGACACGGUCCAGACUCCUACGGGAGGCAGCAGUAGGGAAUCUUCCGCACUGGGCGAAAGCCUGACGGAGCAACGCCGCGUGAGUGAUGAAGGUCUUCGGAUCGUAAAACUCUGUUAUUAGGGAAGAACAUAUGUGUAAGUAACUGUGCACAUCUUGACGGUACCUAAGCAGAAAGCCACGGCUAACUACGU